rfam:Gossypium arboreum cultivar AKA8401 contig_23579_7, whole genome shotgun sequence.
AUUCCAUGAUGAGGGCACUUCCAUAAUAAUUCUUUGUACCUUUCUCAUGCCUCAUACAAGGACUCACCAUCCACUUUUUUGGAAAGUAGUGAUCUUAUUCCUCAACUU